rnacentral:lncRNA from 1 species
UGGGGAAGAACAAGGGGAGGAAAUGUCAAUCAAAUAAUCACAGAAAUGCAUAUAAACUUGCUAUUGUGGUGAGCUAUGUAGGGAGUUUCACCAUGUUGGCCAGGAUGGUCUCGAUCUCUCGACCUUGUGAUCUGCCCACAUCGGCCUCCCAAAGUGCUGAGAUUACAGUCGUGCUGUCAGGAAGAAUUAAUUAUUUAUAAUUUAUGUCUAUUUAUGUCAGUGCGAGCUUGCAGAUUCUUAUGUUUUUGAAUGGGUUAUAAUUUUUACACUGUCAUUAUUCAUUUUGAUAUUCAGAUUGCCCCAGAUUUGAUUAAUGGGAGCCUCUUUAAAUAGGUUCCUGUGCAUUGUUGCUGGUUUUUUGUUUGUUUGUUUGUUUUGACAUGUUGUUACCAUUUUUGAGCACUUCCUGCUUUCUGGAACAAUAAAAUAUUCCAGGCUGAUCUUGUACUUUACCUGCCCCACCGUGGAAUCAUCUGUUUCUUCAAGAAGUCCUAAUUUGUUUCAGUAGAAAAGAACAUUUAGAAAUCGAGAUUUUGGCUCCUGGUGCUUGUUGCUACUGGGAUGUUACUGCUUCUAGGCAAGCUCAGCAUUCAGAGUUAAGACGUGUGUGUGUGUGUGUGUGUGUGUGUGUGUGUGUGUGUGUGUCUGUGUGUCUGUGUAUGUAGAAAGAGAGAAAAAGAAGGACAAAACCAAAGUAGUAAAAUGCAAAUGCUUGAAGAAUCUGGGUGAAUGGUAUAUGGGAAUUCUUUGUACUGUUCAUGUAACUUUUCUGAAAUUAUGUCAAAAUAAUUUAAAAGAAAAAUAGGCCUCCAUCUCAAAAAAAAAAAGAAAAGAAAAGAAAAAUAGGCAGUGUAUCGAGGUGGUUAAGAACUGGGUGCAGGCCGGGCACAGUGGCUCAUGCCUGAAAUCCCAGCAAUUUGGGAGGCCAAAGCAGGUGGAUCACCUGAGGUCGAGAGUUCGGGACCAGCCUGGCCAACAUGGUGAAACCCUGUCUCUACUAAAAAUACAAAAAAAUUAGCUGGACAUGGUGGUGUGUGCCUGUAAUCCCAGCUACUCGGGAGGCUGAGGCAGGAGAAUUGCUUGAACCCAGGAGUCAGAGGUUGCAGUGAGCCAAGAUCCCUCCAUUGCACUCCAGCCUGGCAACAAGAGUAAAACUCUGUCUCAAGAAAAAAAAAAGAACUGAGUGCUGGAAGCAGAUAGAUUGGGUUUAAAUCCCAGCUCCUCUGCUGUGUGGCAUUGGGGAAGUGAUUCUGACCUCUCUGUGCUUGAGUUUUCUCAUUUAUGAAACAGAAAUAAUGAUCAAAACAUAUUUCAUACAGUUGUUGAGAGAAUCAAUGGAAACAAUGCACUAAAACUCUUAGAAGCUGUCUGGUACAUGAUGAAUUCUCAGUAAAUAGCAGGUAUUUAAAGAUUUACUAACAUUUAACAGUUGUGGGAUGAGAUGCACCAUCUCAUAUUUCUGGCUUCUGUGAAAAAACAGAGGUCCUGGUCUGUGUGGCCCCUGAGCCCACAAAGCCAUCAGCUGGAGCUAAUCCUUUCUGGGGCAGGGCCUGAGCUUCGGUCCCCAACAUUGAGUCCUGACUCAGCCUCUACUCUUGAUAGCACCUGGCACGCCUCAUUUUCAACGUCUAUUUUGCACGUUCUAGAAAUCUAUGAAUUUUUUUCCUUUGGUUUUUAGGGCAUCUCAUUGCAUUUCUCUAAAAAGCUGAAAUGCACAAAUAUCUGAUUAGGGCCACUAAUCUAUUUUGAGUAUUUUAGUCCUUUUCUAUAACCUGUCCCAACAAUUUCUCCCAUGGCCUUGCCAAAUCUCUGGGAAUCUUCUCAUUUUUCAAUUAGGCUUAGAGAAGUUAAGUAUCUUGCUCAGGGAAAUGCAGCAAGCAGGCUCGGACUGAAACCCCAGUCUGUCUGACUUCAUAGUUCUUGCUCAUUUCCCUGCACUUCUUGGUGCUCAAAGAACCUAAAUGGGUCAGUCAAUGAAUCUAUCAGCAAGUAUUCAGGAGAAAGCUGUUGGUUGAAAGCCAAGGUGCCAUUUUAUGAUUUGGCCUAAUUUGUUGAGCUUUUCCUAAUCUCCUGGGUUGGAAGUUGACCUAAUAAGUGAUUAAUAUCACUUAUGCUUCUCCAUGAUUGUUUUGUCCUCUAGAACCUCCUUUAUCAGCAAUAAAAUAUUUGCAGAACCCUUAGUCAUCAGGAUGCCUUGCACCUGAGCUUCUCAAGUAGCAUCAACUCCCAAGUACCAAUGCUUUAGAAUUGAUUAGAAGAUUUGCACAGAGGAAACUUUCUCCUCCCGAAUCUGUUGUGCUUUCAUAAAACUGGGUGUGCAAUAUAUUUUGCACACAUUGAGCAGAAAGGUAAAGUGAUGAGGAUGUCCCAUAUUGUGGGAGAAAAGAGAUCAGGAAGACAAAAUAAAUAUGAAGUUGAGAGUUGAUGACAUACUUGAAAAAGAAAUGCUUUGCUUUUUCAUCUGCAUUUGUUUUCUUUUUAAUAGAUCAAUUUUCCCCCUUCAUUUUAUGUAUUGUUAAUGCUUUUUUUCUGUUAUGAUUGGCCCAGAUCUCUCUACACCAGGUGAAAUCUACUGGAGACCGGUAGCGGUCCUCUGGAUUGUGCCAACACCAAUUGAUUGGUGGCAGUUGCCUGAAACACAGUAUCAAGAAACAUUCUGAAGUUGAGUCCAAGCAUGCCAGGAAAGAAGAUCAUGAUCAAUAGGCCAAGGGUGCCGGAAAAGGGAUGUUCAGCCUGUGUUUCAUCCGAUAUACAAUAUAUUCUGGAGACCAAACUUGUAGUAGGAUGGUGCAAAAGUAAUGGCAAAAACCACAAUCGCUUUUGCACCAACCUAAUAGAUCUGUAAUAAGAAUAACUUACAUUGAUUAAGGGCUGACUGUGUGAUUGGCAUUAUAUUAAGUGUAUUACAUUGAUUUUUUUCAGCAUUUUAUUAAGGAUGCUUAUGUAUAAUCACAAGUUAUACACAGGAUGAAUUUUCAAGGUACACAGACAAGUAAUUUUUAUUGCUGGUAAUAUGUAUGUUUGCAAUUAUCUUCUGCUAAUACCAGUUAUUUCUAAAGUUCUGGUGCUACUACAAAAUUUACUUGUAAAUCAAUUUGUUCAAGUUUUAAAAGAUGAUCCCUAAGUAAAAUAAUACGUGAAUGAUAUUUUAUGAGGCAAACAAAGCUUUGUGUAAAUUCCUCCCUUUAAGUGUGGCGGAGCCUGUGGCUUGAUUCUAACCAAUAGAAUAUGUCGAAGGUGAUGAGAUGUCACUUGGUGAUUACGUGAGAAAGGAUUGUAAUAGUCAUCUGUUUU